ACGGCGUCGUCCUUUGGAAUUCCAGGUUGGUGAUUGGGUAUUUCUGAAGGUAUCGCCUAUGAAAGGCGUAAUGCGGUUCGGCAGAAAGGGCAAACUUAGUCCGCGUUAUAUUGGGCCUUAUGUGAUUGUGCGGAAAAUUGGGAAUGUCGCCUAUGAGUUAGAUUUGCCAUCUGAUUUGGAAGCGGUACAUCCGGUAUUCCAUGUCUCUAUGCUCCGCAAAUGCAUUGGUGAUCCCUCCAGAAUAUUUCCGGCGGAUGAUAUUCAGGUGACGGAGCAGUUAUCUUACGAGGAGCAGCCCGUAGCCAUCUUGGACCGCCAGGUAAGAAAGCUCCGGAACAAAGAUGUAGCCUCUGUUAAGGUGCUGUGGCGGAACAACAAUAGGGAAGAAAUGACCUGGGAGGCCGAAGAGGAGAUGAAGAAGAAAUAUCCUCAUUUGUUCCCUAUGCCCACAGUUGUCUUGGAGGAAGAAGCACUUGGAUCCUCAAUUUGAUCACCUAUUCAAGUGAAGAAGACUAGGGAAAAAGAUUUUCGACGAAACGGAGAGUGAGCUUGGAUAGGCUUAAAAAGCUCAAAAGGUAUGUAAAGCUACCCCGAUCCUUCUUUUGGCAUGCCUAAGUGUAUUAGGAUCGAAUUCGGGCCUCGAAAGACUUUCUGCCCCUUGGAAUCCGCAAGUGAAAAUAUCACUUUUUCUUUCAGUAAGAUUGAACUCUUUUGGUAUGUUUUCUUGGAAAUUAUGCAAACCUUCUCUAAACUCCUUGGAAAGCUACAGAAUGUCCG